rnacentral:misc_RNA from 1 species
GAUGAAGAACGCAGCGAAAUGCGAUAAGUAAUGUGAAUUGCAGAAUUCAGUGAAUCAUCGAAUCUUUGAACGCACAUUGCGCCCGCCAGUAUUCUGGCGGGCAUGCCUGUUCGAGCGUCAUUUCAACCAUCAAGCCCCAGGCUUGUGUUGGGGACCUGCGGCUGCCGCAGGCCCUGAAAACCAGUGGCGGGCUCGCUGUCACACCGGGCGUAGUAGAUUUUAUCUCGCUCAGGGCGUGCUGCGGGUCCCGGCCGUUAAAAGCCUUUUUUUACCCAAGGUUGACCUCGGAUCAGGUAGGAAGACCCGCGGAACUUAAGCAUAUCAAUAAGCGGAGGA